UUAUUUUGAACAAUACUGUAUGUGGUUGUUUAGCAGAUGUACAGUGUAUUUGUUCGGAAAUUAAAUUAAAUUACAUUAUAUUUAAAUAAGUUAUAAUUAUUUAAUUUUUUUGUCAAUGUUAGAGCAAUUUCUGAAACUGUAUUCUUUUGAAUUUUUUUUUUCUUUCCAGCUAUCCAUCUGGUACAGAAAAGUUGACACUAGUAAAGGAGAUUGUGUCAUUGUUCCUCUCAUUAAGGAUUUGGCGAAAAUGAGGGACAGGAGCAUUUUUUGAUGGACCAUCACACAGUAGAUUUAUAGAAAUGAGACUAUGGAACAUCAGACAGAAGCUUCAACAGAGCCAGCGGAUGUACAGUUUGAAAUGUCGUCAGUGUACACAGCAACCUUCUUUGUCAAGUCCAGAUGAAACUGCCAAGUGAGUGGUUGACCCUGAUAAAGAGGAUGCGACCGUCACCAGAGAAUUCAUCAUCAAUAAAGACUGCAGUUGACCAAACCUUCAGUUACCAAAAGAGAAGGAUAACGACAAAAUCCCCAACUGUUGCUGAAAUCUUCAAGGAAUAUCCCGGAUUUCUUGACAUGCCAGCCUUGCAUUGAGGAUGGACAUUGAGUUUUCCAAGCUCACAGAUGGAGAAGAAAACUUGCUCAUCCAGAAAUGGGAAGAGACCAUAAUUCCAAAGCUCAAGGAAGUAGCAUCCUUGGAGAAGAAAAAUGACAUCAAACACUUUCUGGAGAAAGCUGACAAUCAGCAUGAUGAUGAGUUGUGUUAAACUAUUUUGAAGAUCCUCAUUCAUCUUCUUCCACCCACGGCAUCUGGGAGAAGUGUUGCUGGCAGUAAAUGCUGUGUGAACUCUGCAGUCUCAUACCUGUUGGAGCAAGUGCUGGCUGGUACCAACGUGACCUCCUUGCUCAGUGGAUCCAUGAAAGGUUCCCUCUAGGACAUGGAGCCCAGUAUGUAAUUGUGGCUAAUAAUGAUUCUUUUGGCCUUCCACUUGAUGUUGGAAGCCUGACCUGUUCUGUAGACAGACUUUCUCAAAUUCUUCUGGCUGUGCAAUCUUCAGUGUCCAUGCCAACUGUCCUCUGUUUUCAAAUUUACGAGUAUUUUUUUUAAAUGACUGUGCCAAAUGCUUUCCCAGUUGUGAUUGGAUCUUUGUAGAAGGAAGACAAAUUGCUU